rnacentral:lncRNA from 1 species
UGGAACAACAUGGUUGGUUAAGGCAUAUUGAGCAGGGCUAGAGGCUCUACAGUGAGAUAAGACAGUAAUCACAAACCAGGACAGUAAUGGACGUGGCAUAUUGAUAUUAGAGAGAGGCAUGCAUAGCCAAGUGAACAUAUGGGUCCAGUGAGUGGUUGGGCUGACUGGGGACACGGCGAUUCAGACAGUUAGCAGGCCGAUGCUAACAAGCUAACAGUUAGUAGACCGGGGCUAAACAAGUUAGCAGACCGGGGCUGGCAAGCUAGCAGUUAGCAGACCGGGGCUGGCAAGCUAGCAGUUAGCAGACCGGGGCUGGCAAGCUAGCAGUUAGCAGACCGGGGCUGGCAAGCUAGCAGUUAGCAGACCGGGUUAGCAAGCAAGCAGUUGGCAGACCGGGGCUAGCAGUUAGCAGACCGGGGCAAGCAAGCUAGCAGUUAACAGACCGGGGCUAGCAAGUUAGCCUUUGGGGGACCUCUUGAUGGGGGUAAGUCUGUUUUUGCCUCUUUGUGCGGUGACGUCGAUAGACCAGUCGUGGAAUUAGUGGAAUCCUCGGGCAGAUUAUGUAGGUAUUCCAGUCGUAGAGGAUCGGCGGGGUUCCGUGCCCCGUACCGGCAGUAGAAGGGUUCCGGGUAUUGUAGCCCAGGAGUGGGCUUCGGUGGUAGCACAGGAGCCCUGGCCGGGCUAGCUUCAGGCUAAUUGGUGCCUACUCCGGGAUGGAAACGCUAGCCAGGAGUAGUCACCCGGGAUUGCAGUUAGCUAGUUGCGAAGAUCCAGAUGAAAAUGUUCAGAGUUUGCAGUAGGAAUCUGGGGAUAUGGGGAUUUUUUUUUAUAAUUGGUCCAUUAUGCUCUGGUUUGCGUCACGUUGUUCGAACUGGCGAGAGCUUUCUGAGUUAAAGGUUAGCUGAUGACCGCUAGCAAUGGUUUGCUGACUGAUAGCUGGUAGGUAGUUAGCUGGCUAGCUUCAGUUGAGGGAUUCCCAAUCCGAACGAAAUAUAAAUACUUUAGGAAAAAAAACUGAUCCACGCCACAUUGGGUGAGGCGGGUUGCAGGAGAGUAUUUAGAAGUUGAGGUUUAGGAAAAUAUUUUAAAAAGAUAUGCGAAGAAAAAGAUGUAAAAAGAUAUAUACAAGGACACGACAGGUCAAAGACGUCUGAUUGCUACGCCAUCUUGGAUUUAUGUGUGGAUUAAUUGUCGGAGUAGAGGACCUUGUGCAUUUCAGAUGCCGACCACCCCUCCCUCCUCCCUCUAUGCCCACCCACCAGCUUUCCCGGCCUUUUCCUCCACCACACCACCCGCCCCCCCCUGUUCCCCGUACCCCUCCCCACCAUGCUCCCCAGGCCCUGGGGUGAAGGGGAUUGGAGGUUCCGGAGGGGUGACCCUGCGUUCUCCAGCCACUCGUCACCUCACCCACCUGGACCCCUGGAGGAGGCAUAGCUGGGAGCCUGUGGCUGUACUGACAGUGCAGCAGCAGGGGACGGAGCCCAGCGACAACCACAGUGUGAGUCUGGAGAACCUGGAGAUGGAGAAGGUUCUGGGAGCGGCACUGGGCGUCCGGCGAGUGGGGAGGAACCCCAUCACUCAGGAGGGCUCCUUGUCUUCCCUCA